rnacentral:rRNA from 1 species
UACGUAGGGUCCGAGCGUUGUCCGGAAUUAUUGGGCGUAAAGGGCUCGUAGGCGGUUUGUCACGUCGGGAGUGAAAACUCAGGGCUCAACCCUGAGCGUGCUUCCGAUACGGGCAGACUAGAGGUAUGCAGGGGAGAACGGAAUUCCUGGUGUAGCGGUGGAAUGCGCAGAUAUCAGGAGGAACACCGGUGGCGAAGGCGGGUCUCUGGGCAGUAACUGACGCUGAGGAGCGAAAGCGUGGGGAGCGAACAGG